rnacentral:rRNA from 1 species
GUGCCAGCAGCGGCGGUAAUACGUAGGUGGCAAGCGUUGUCCGGAAUCAUUGGCGUAAAGGGCGCGCAGGCGGUUCGGUAAGUCGGUCUUAAAAGUGCGGGGCUUAACCCCGUGAUGGGAUUGAAACUGCCGGACUGGAGUGUCGGAGAGGAAAGCAGAAUUCCUAGUGUAGCGGGUGAAAUGCGUAGAUAUUAGGAGGAAUACCAGUGGCGAAAGCGGCUUUCUGGACGACAACUGACGCUGAGGCGCGAAAGCCAGGGGGAGCAAACGGGAUUAGAUACCCCCGGUAGUCCUGGCCGUAAACGAUGGAUACUAGGUGUAGGAGGUAUCGACCCCUUCUGUGCCGGAGUUAACGCAAUAGUAUCCGCUGGGAUACGGCGCAAGGUUG